CCGUUUGCAAAGCCUGACAAGGCUGUCAAUAGGUCAGGCAUCAAAUGGUUCUCAAAGCAAUUAUCCUGAAUAUUCCAUCCUCCGCCACAUACCUGCGCCUGCGUGGCUACUCACCAACAAAACUACCACGUGACUCUACCAGCCAGAGGGGCCUGUGGAUCCAGUGACCAACUGAUGAAAUCCAGGGAAGCAGCAUGGGGGAGAAUUAUUUAUUUUAUGUAUGAGUACACUGUCACUGCCUUCAGACGCACCAGAAGAGGGCCUCAGAUCCCAUCACAGAUGGUUGUGAGCCACCAUGUGGUUGCCGGGAAUUGAACUCAGGACCUCUGGAAGAGCAGCCAGUGCUCUUGACCUCUGAGCCAUCUCUCCAGCCCCUUUCUUUUCUUUUCAAGACAGACUUUCUCUGUGUAACAGCCUUGGCUGCCUGGAACUCUCUUGUAGACCAGGCUGGCCUCACACAGAUCCUCAUGCCUCUGCCUCCCAGGUGUUGGGAUCAAAGGCGUGCCCACCGAGGGCAGCUUGAAACUCUUCAUUUUCAUUAUACUAAAAGUAUGCACAACUUUUUUCAUUUUUGAAAGUUAAUUUUUGCUGCAUAUGGAAUUCUUGACUGCCUGUUAUUUUUUUCCCCCUCCAUAUUUUAAGAAGGUUACCUCAUGCCACUUUGCUGUCUGAUCGGAAACCAAUUGCUUACCUCAUUGAUGAAGGAGUUACUUCUACCUCGCUCCCUUAAGUUUCUCUGGGUUUGGUCUUCAUUGGGGUGAGAAGACGCAUUUGCUGGCUAUUGCCUUUGUUGCAACAGUCCUUGAAUUUAUCCUAUUUGGAGUUGAGCUUCUUGGAUAUGCGGCAUGCUCACAGGCCAACCAAGAUAGAGACCAUCCCUUCAUGAGAUCCCCGAGGAGCUCUAAGUUGUGGCAUGUCGACAGCACUAACCGUCAUACCCAGAGACUGAAGAGUUACGCCUUCUUCUCGCUCUGUUGCCUGCAGGGAUUGGCUGAGGCUCAGCUCUGCCAUCUUUACUCCAGGACCUAGCCAGCCAUCUAGAGCAGUGUGGCUCUUCCUGGCUGAUGGUGGGGUAGGAGAGCUUAGCCCGGCUCUGAGUACCAUUACCUCACUGGCUGUUACCAGCUACAGAGCCUAGUGGACCACAAGAGGACGGGGCAAUGCUUCCCUCUGCCCCGUGCCUGGGAAUACAGGGGCGUCGCUGCACAGGCCCAGUGACCACCCUACACCUCGUGCCACGGAAAGAGUUGUCUCAGCUAGGGCUUUAUUGCUGUGAACAGACACCGUGACUGAGGCAACGCUUGGAAAGGACAAAGUUCAUUGGGGUUGGCUUACGGUUUCAGAGGUUCAGUCCGUUAUCGUCAUGGUGAGAAGCAUGGCAGUGUGCAGGCAGACACGGUGCUGGAGGAGCCAGAGUUCUGUACCUCGAUCCAAAGGCAGAGGAGGAGACUGUGUCCCACACUGGGCGUAGCUUGAGCAUAGGAGACCUCAAAGUCCACCCCCACAGUGACGCACUUCCUCCAAGAAGACCAUAUCUUCUAAUAGUGCCACUCCCCAUGGGCCAUGAAUUCAAACACAUGAGUCUAUAGGAGCCAUAUCUAUUCAAACCCCACUAAGAGUCUUGACCUCAUGACGCGUACCCCAAGCAGGAAGAAUGAGACACGGUGUGGAGGAUGGUUCUGCUUUCGUAACAUGGUUCCACGUCGUUAAAUUCCACUGUAUUCUCUGCCGAGUGAAAAGUACUCUCCCCACCUCACAGGUUUGUUUGCUUGGGUGUCUUCACAGUCCUGGACAUUCACCCUCCGAAAGCUGACGCGGGCACCAGCCAAUGGGUACCGUCAAGCUCUCUUGCACUGAAAUGUUAGGGAAUGUGGGCACUUCCCAGUACAUGUCCUAGCAGAAUUUCCAUAAGGACAUUUUAUUUGUAUAUUCCCACAGAUCAAUAAAAUAAUUUUAUUAAGACCAUGUGGGAAAAACCUUCGGGUCUCUUCCAAACACAAUGAAUACACUGUUGCAAUAGCUUUGCAUAGCCAAAGGGUAAGAAAGAAGUGCAUGGCUGGGCAGGACAGGGGCUGGGGCGGGAAGCUCAGAGGUAGCACACUUACAGUUUUACAAUUCAUGUGCAAGCAUUUUUUUUUUAAUUUAGGCACAGGAAUUCUCUCAUCUGAGAUAUUCUCAACAGAUGACAUCAGAGGGCACAGGCUCUCAACCUGUGGUCCGUGACCUCUUUGGGGGUUGGACAACCCUUUCACAGAGGUCACCUAAGACCAUCGGAAAACGCAGGUAUUUGCGUCACAAGUCAUAACAGUAGCAAAAUCACAGUUACAAAGCAGUAAUGAGAUUCAUUAUGGUUGGGGGUCACCACGACAUUAAAGGGUCACAGCGUUAGGAGGGUUGAGGGCUGACGGCAUAGGGAGAUGUCAGAUCCUUAGGAGGUGGGGUCCUGACACUGAGGGUCAUGUGGGAGAGGGACACGGAGGAUCACGGCACCAACCAUGCGGGCUGCCUUCUCUCCCUAAUGUUUUCCUACAUCCUGUCCAGUCUUGCUGUGACACACAAAUCAGGCCUGCAGGUUCACCGGCAGAGGCUAUAGGGCACCCAUUGAUGCUGCCGGGGGCUUUGCUCAUCCUCUCUGACCAGUUCAUCACGCCCUCCCAUGUCCAAAGGGAGUAGAAUAAAACAAAAUGCACAACCUUUUCCUUUAUAUAUUAUAUAAAAUAAC
rnacentral:lncRNA from 1 species